rnacentral:rRNA from 1 species
UGGGGAAUAUUGGACAAUGGACCAAGAGUCUGAUCCAGCAAUUCUGUGUGCACGAUGACGUUUUUCGGAAUGUAAAGUGCUUUCAGUUGGGAAGAAAAAAAUGACGGUACCAACAGAAGAAGUGACGGCUAAAUACGUGCCAGCAGCCGCGGUAAUACGUAUGUCACAAGCGUUAUCCGGAUUUAUUGGGCGUAAAGCGCGUCUAGGUGGUUAUGUAAGUCUGAUGUGAAAAUGCAGGGCUCAACUCUGUAUUGCGUUGGAAACUGUGUAACUAGAGUACUGGAGAGGUAAGCGGAACUACAAGUGUAGAGGUGAAAUUCGUAGAUAUUUGUAGGAAUGCCGAUGGGGAAGCCAGCUUACUGGACAGAUACUGACGCUGAAGCGCGAAAGCGUGGGUAACAAACAGGAUUAGAUACCCUGGUAGUCCACGCCGUAAACGAUGAUUACUAGGUGUUGGGGGUCGAACCUCAGCGCCCAAGCAAACGCGAUAAGUAAUCCGCCUGGGGAGUACGUACGCAAGUAUG